AACGAACGCUGGCGGCAGGCCUAACACAUGCAAGUCGAGCGAGGACUUCGGUUCUAGCGGCGGACGGGUGAGUAACGCGUGGGAAUGUGCCCUUCUCUACGGAAUAGCCCUGGGAAACUGGGAGUAAUACCGUAUACGCCCUAUUGGGGAAAGAUUUAUCGGAGAAGGAUCAGCCCGCGUUGGAUUAGGUAGUUGGUGGGGUAAUGGCCUACCAAGCCGACGAUCCAUAGCUGGUUUGAGAGGAUGAUCAGCCACACUGGGACUGAGACACGGCCCAGACUCGUACGGGAGGCAGCAGUGGGGAAUCUUAGACAAUGGGGGCAACCCUGAUCUAGCCAUGCCGCGUGAGUGAUGAAGGCCUUAGGGUUGUAAAGCUCUUUGAGCUGGGAAGAUAAUGACGGUACCAGCAGAAGAAGCCCCGGCUAACUACGUG
rnacentral:rRNA from 1 species